CCUGGUGGCUCAGAUGGUAAAGCAUCUGCCUGCAAUGCAGGAGACCCGGGUUCGAUCCCUGGGUCAGGA
rfam:TPA: Bos taurus chromosome 5, whole genome shotgun sequence.